CUGCAAGUAGGUCAUCUCUGGGACUGGAUAACUACAGCUCACAACCAAUGCUCCUGCUGUGUAACUGGUGGUAGUUCAGAACAGGAAAUUCACAACUGCAAGCCCAAAUUAUGAAUGAUAUAAACAAGUAAUACCUAUUUCAAAGAACACUGAUAGAAAGAUUUCACCUCAGGACAUCUGGGUACAGACGAGAGAUUAAUAUAAACUUAAUUCUUGGACUUCAACACACUCCAUGCAGCAUAGUCCUUCUUCAGGUGAGCUAGUCAAUUCCCCACUUUUAUGUAAUCUAACUAUAAUAAAUUAUAACAUAAAAAAAGAAAAUGUUAAAUUAGCACAAACAUAAAACAGAUGAGAGAAUUCCACCAACUAGACAGACUUACAAAAAUUAAAUUUCCUAGCAAGUCAACUACAAUUAUUUCACAAUAAACAUGACUUUCACAAAAUAUGUAUGUGAUAUAUGGGACUGGUAGAAAGUUUAAUAUAAAUAAUGUUCCACCUGCCACUCACUUUACAGCAGUUAAUACAUCUCAGCCAAGGGUGUCAUGUUUAGUUUUUCAGGGCAGUGUUCUGCAGUGAAAGAAUCUUCAAAAUACAUUAUAACCAUUCUAUACAAUACCUAUGCACUUAAAAUAUGGAUUAAAGAAAGUAAAUAGUUGUUUUAAAAUCAAAGUUAUGUAUUUUUCAUCACCAAACAGUCAAUAUGUGAAAGUGAUAAAAUGGCAUAGUUACUUACCACAUAAAUUCUCUGGUAUUCAUAAAAUACAGUAAACAUGUUAUUGUAUGGUGAUGAUUUAUCACAUGAAACUGAAUUAACAUUCAAAACUUUUAACUGGCUAUCUAAUUUCAAUUUUAUUAUUCCAUGUCUUUCAAGUGGUGAAUUUACAUGAAACUCCACACAAAUUUGGAAAAUAUUUUUGUUUCCAUUAUAUGUACUAAAAGCCUUACCCAUUAGAUUCCUUGCUUAUACAAGACUGACAAGGCAGGACAAGGAAAGAAACUGGGAUGGUAUGCCAU